AGCUGAGGCAGCAGCUUCUUUUUGGAUGGAGAUUGUGUUUCUCUUGAGCUGCUCGUGGUCAUCAGAAGAGGGCCAGGCUGUGCUGCUGGGCAGGACUGUGGGGGUAGCAGAGAAGGAGGAACAAGCAGAAGCACAUUUGGCUCCAUCACACUGGCAAGAAUGAAACAAUAUUUCCUGAGCACUGACCUCUUCGACACUUAUGUGGACUCAGCAUCUUAAUUGCUGUUAGUGUGAAUCACCAAAAGCUGGUGCAUAAUUUCUCGAGACAUUUAUUGGAGAUCUACAGUAGACAUUCACUCUCAAUAACAAAAAUAAAGAAAUCCAUAAAUCCCAUGAAACUUUCCCCUACUUCAUUUUAAGUUGUUUAUACAAGAAACUUCAUGUCGUAAUAACACUUUUUGGCCUUUGUUUGAUUGGAAAUUUCUAUUAAACUGUUAU
ensembl:lncRNA